rnacentral:misc_RNA from 1 species
GAGGAUAAGAUAGUUCCCCUAAGGUAAUAUUAGAUACAAUAAUCCUGGAUAUCAUGAUAUUAUCAUUUAGAGGUGGAGCUCUAGACUGCACUUAUGAACUGUCAUAUGAAUCCCACUUAUAUGCAUCUAAUUGUGUUAAUGCCUGUCGACAUAGUGUGGUGGAGUUCCCCCAAAUCCUAUAUCUUUAAUCAUAAAAUCUUAAAACUUCAUUAUAAAUUACUAACUUACAUUGUAAAAUUUUAAGCCCUUUUGGUACAAAAGUCCAAAUCUUUUAGUGUCCCUUUUACUAAAUAUCCUAGUAACUUCAUUGUACAACAUCAAUUUUCUUUAUGAACCCAAAAGCCUUUACCA